rnacentral:rRNA from 1 species
UACGUAGGGGGCAAGCGUUGUCCGGAUUUAUUGGGUGUAAAGAGCGUGUAGGCGGUCCGGUAAGUCCGCUGUGAAAGUCGGGGGCUCAACCCUCGGAUGCCGGUGGAUACUGUCGGGCUUGAGUACGGAAGAGGCGAGUGGAAUUCCUGGUGUAGCGGUGAAAUGCGCAGAUAUCAGGAGGAACACCAAUUGCGAAGGCAGCUCGCUGGGACGUUACUGACGCUGAGACGCGAAAGCGUGGGGAGCAAACAGG